CUACGGGUCGCAGCAGUGAGGAAUAUUGCACAAUGGGGGGAACCCUGAUGCAGCAACGCCGCGUGGAGGAUGACGCAUUUCGGUGUGUAAACUCCUUUUAUAUGUCAAGAGAAUGACGGUAGCAUAUGAAUAAGCACCGGCUAACUCCGUGCCAGCAGCCGCGGUAAUACGGAGGGUGCAAGCGUUACUCGGAAUCACUGGGCGUAAAGGACGCGUAGGCGGGUUGGAAAGUCAGGUGUGAAACCCUACAGCUUAACUGUAGAACUGCACUUGAAACUUCUAAUCUAGAGUAUGGGAGGGGGAGAUGGAAUUAGUGGUGUAGGGGUAAAAUCCGUAGAUAUCACUAGGAAUACCUAAAGCGAAGGCGAUCUCCUGGAACAUUACUGACGCUAAGGCGUGAAAGCGUGGGGAGCAAACAGGAUUAGAUACCCCGGUAGUC
rnacentral:rRNA from 1 species